rnacentral:ncRNA from 1 species
CAAAGGCUUGGUCCUGACUUUACUAUCAACUCUAGCUAAACUUACACAUGCAAGUAUCCGCACCCCCGUGAGAAUGCCCUACAGUUCCCCGCCCGGGAACAAGGAGCUGGUAUCAGGCACAUUCCUACUUAGCCCAUGACACCUUGCUUAGCCACACCCUCAAGGGAACUCAGCAGUGAUAAACAUUAAGCCAUAAGUGAAAACUUGACUUAGUCAAAGCUAAAAGGGCCGGUAAAACUCGUGCCAGCCACCGCGGUUAUACGAGAGGCCCAAGCUGAUAGAUAUCGGCGUAAAGCGUGGUUAAGAUUUUAAUAUAAACUAAAGCCGAACACCUUCAAAGCUGUUAUACGCACCCGAAGGUAAGAAGUUCAACCACGAAAGUGGCUUUAUAACCCCUGAACCCACGAAAGCUACGACACAAACUGGGAUUAGAUACCCCACUAUGCUUAGCCGUAAACAUUGGUAGCACACUACCCCUACUACCCGCCUGGGAACUACGAGCAUCAGCUUGAAACCCAAAGGACUUGGCGGUGCUUUAGAUCCACCUAGAGGAGCCUGUUCUAGAACCGAUAACCCCCGUUCAACCUCACCUUUCCUUGUUUUUCCCGCCUAUAUACCGCCGUCGUCAGCUUACCCUGUGAAGGAUUUAUAGUAAGCAAAAUUGGUACAACCUAAAACGUCAGGUCGAGGUGUAGCGUAUGGGAAGGGAAGAAAUGGGCUACAUUUCCUAAAACAGGAAAUUACGGACGAUGUACUGAAACGUACAUCUGAAGGAGGAUUUAGCAGUAAGCAGGAAAUAGAGCGUCCAGCUGAAAUUGGCCCUGAAGCGCGCACACACCGCCCGUCACUCUCCCCAAGCCUAUCAACUAAUAUAACUAAAACCUUAUAAUCGCGAAGGGGAGGCAAGUCGUAACAUGGUAAGUGUACCGGAAGGUGCACUUGGAAAAAU